AUGUGUACUGAAAGUGAAAGAAAACAUUUAGAAAUGCUUAGGCAAUCUGCCAUGAAGUCCAAGCAGGUGAUUUUAUAUUUACAAAACAGCAGUUUGCCAUUGUCUGGGGUCGGGGACACAAAAGACUGCUCGCCUGGUCUACAGCAUUUGCUUGUUCUGUUGCUUUUGCAUAUCUUUUUGUAUUUAGAAAGGUGCCGUUUCUUCCACCAUGAAAGAAAGAUCUUAGGACUUGAGCUGAUGCUGGGGCAUCCACCACGUCAGCACCAAACAUUGCCUGCUGCUGCUAAGUCACGUCAGUCAUGUCCGACUCCGUGCGACCCCACAGACGGCCUGGUGGGCUCCCCGGUCCCUGGGAUUCUCCAGGCAAGAACACUGGAGUGGGUUGCCAUUUCCUUUGCCUAG
rnacentral:lncRNA from 1 species